ensembl:lncRNA
AGGUGAGUUAAUUUAGAACAAUCAAGGCGCCAUUUUUAAAGUAUUCUCAUAGCCCCUGACGCGGGUAGGACGCGUAGUGCUGAGCUUGGCCCCAUUUCACAGAGGAGGGGACUCUCUGGGUGUCUCCGCGGCAGCAGGAGGGCGCGGCCGAAGCCCCAAGCCCGGUCCUCCGCCGCCACCAACACCUUCCAGCCGGCCGGGUAUCCCCCUGCCGGCUGGGACUUUCGACUUUAUCAGCUCGACAGCAGCAAGGCCUCUGCAGAGAAGGCGAUGGCACCCCACUCCAGUACUCUUGCCUGGAAAAUCCCAUGGAUGCAGGAGCCUGAUCACACAGGUCAAGGACAGGUGUUCCCUGGGCCAAAACAAACAGACCUUGACUGGACGGCAUACCGAUGUGUUGGUUUCACCCUGUUCUUUCUGCGUGUCCCUCGGCUCAGUUGAUACAGCGUGAUCAGGACAGUGUAAAGUGAUAGACACGCCAUCACGACCUGCGCUGACCUUAGCUGUGUGCUCACAGGCACUGCCUGCGUGUUCUGGGAAGGGGGACGCCGGGUGGUUUUUUUCCCCACAAAGUGGGUUCACUGAAUCCUAGUGACUUGGAUGUUUUGGGAGUGGUUGUUUAAAAAAUCCCACCCAGUACUUCAGUUUGCUCUGCUGUUUCUAAGGACAGUCGCAGCCCCAGACUUCAGGAGGGAGAUUCAUCCAC